CUGCCACCCCCCCACCCGCGCUGCGACGGUGACACGCCGGUCGGAAUCUUCUGCUGGCAACGCCCGGCGACCGGCGCGUGCCGUGCAGCCCGAGGAGACCCUGCAGCAAGCCGUGCUUGCCCGGAUGGGCGGAGUACGAGCAGGAGUGGAUUCCGUGGUGCACCACAACGUCGACGGCUUCUCUUCGCCACCGAGCUCUGCUCCCCUCCCUGUGCAUCAGGAUGAAGGUGCUCACGAAUCUUACCUUGUCACGGUCGACUCCCCUCUCUCCCUCCGCGUUUUGCACUGGUAGGUCUGUUGGAUUGGCACCGCCGGUGAAGCAAAAAACUGGAGGUAUACGACGGGCAGGUGUCGCGAAAGGAAUACUCAUGGUUUCUGAAGACUGACUAUGCCUGAGUACUACACAGCAACAAACUCAGGUUAGUGUGCAUUAAGAUCUACAAUAGUUAUGUGGUUGUAAUGCAGAAAUGAACAUACUUUACCUUGACUUGCUAUAAUUUGAUCCGGCAACUUCAUGUGCUAAGGACUUCCUUGUACACUAUGUUCUUCAUGGUCGUUAAUAAGGGCUCAGAUCUUUUUCGCUUCUUUGAAUUCUUGCUUUCUUCCUUACCCUUGCCUUUACCCUUGCCAUUGUCCUUGAUGGCGAGAAUCUUGAUGUUCCUCUUUGAUGUGGCUCUAGACAAUGCGACGUAGAGCUGACCGUGAGAGAAAACCGGGUCCGGUAGGUACACCUCGACAAUUGGGAUGGUCUGCCCUUGCGCCUUGUUGAUUGUCAUGGCAAAGCUGAGCCUAAUAGGGAACUGCUUCCUCUUGAACUUGAAAGGGAAUAUAUCGUCAUCGGAUGGGCAGAGAGGUAUCCGAGGAAGGAACACCCUCCUACCAGCAUGUUGUCCUAGCACGAUUUCUACAUCAAUGGCGUUCCUCUGAAAACCCCGGACCACAAGCCUUGUGCCGUUACACAACCCAUUAGCUGGAUCAAUGUUUCUCGACAGUAUAACAGGGCAAUUUAUCUUUAGUUUGAGUGCAUGCGGAGGCAGCCCGUUGGGAGUCAGGUUAUUAAGGAAUUCGGGGGCAUAGUAGCCGUGUGGAUCAUCCUCUGCACUAUCAAAACUGUGGUAGAUCUUCUCUUCGCCCUGGAAGCGCUCUAUCAUGCGCGUAUUUAUCUUAUCAACGUUGUCGUUCUUGGUGGAGAGGAUCGCUUGAGAUGUCAUGUAAUUUGGAUCAGCCAUGUUGUCGUCCAGAGCAGGAAAUACAUGGUCGAUUAGCUUCUCUAGGUCAGCGCCGUCUCCUGUUGGCGGCACACAAAUAUCUUCGGGGAGCCUUAUGUUGCCUUCCUCGUCAGUUUCCUUGGUCCCAUUACCUACCCGUAGUAAGUAAUCUGCGAACCACGGGUCGUUAUGCGCCCUCAUGUUGGUGACGAGCCUUAGCUGGCGCAUGCCGUUCCAAAGGUACGAACUCCGUAGGGUAGCAUCGAUUAUCUGACCCCAUGACCCCUUCCUGACGACCGGAAGCACCUGCCUGAAGUCUCCACCGAACACGACUGUCUUUCCCCCGAAUGGUCGGUCCCGUCGGCCCAUGAUGUCCCGCAUGCUAUUGUCUAGUGCCUCGACCGCUUGCCUCUUUGUCAUGGUGGCCUCGUCCCAUAGGAUGAGUGAAGCCAUGUGCAGGAGCUUGGCCGUCCCACUUUGCUUCGUGAAGCUGCACGACGCCCCAUCUUCAAUGUUGAGUGGGAUCUUGAACCUCGAGUGGGCCGUCCUUCCUCCAGGCAUGAUGGAAGCUGCGACGCCUGACGUCGCUGUAGCUAGCGCGAUCUUGCCCUCGCCUCGAACCUUUGCGAGAAGUGACCUGUAUAGGAAGGUCUUCCCGGUGCCUCCUGGGCCAUCGACAAAGAAUAUACCACCAUCACCAGCAUCAACUGCUGCCAGUAUCUCGUCGUAUGCAAGCCUCUGCUCAGGGUUUAGCGAGGACGCCAAAUCAGCGUCAUUCGCGUCAACCUCGAUGGCGGACUCCUCGGUGACUUCUCUGGCCUCACCUCAAGUAGUGUCAGAGGUCUCGUCGAUGUCCGGAAGAGGGAACAAUGCUAUGUCUUUGCCCAUGGACUGUAGCAUGCCCCUGAUGUCAAGCAACACCAUCUGCUCCACUGCAUUUGAGCACGCGUGUAUUCGACGGUAGUCAUCGGACAUCGCGUCUAGGUGCCUAUCCCAUAGACCGCGCACGUCACCUGGCUCGCAGAAUACCAAGAUAGUUGCAAAGAGCCUCCUAAGUGAGGCUGGCAUCGCGAACUGUGUUGACUCUGUAAGACACUCGUCAAGCGUGUUGUCGGCCUCAAUGAGGCCCAAUCUCUCGGCAGCCUCACGGAAGCUAUCACAUAGCACUCCGUCCAUGGUCCGCAGGUCCUCGAAGGAUGUCUUGCCUGGUAUGUGGUUAAGGAGCACUCGCAGAAAGUACCGCUCCCCCUCGGCUGGAUGGGCUGACACGAUUCGACCUACUUGGUGCUGCUUUUCUCUCGGCCUCCAGUAUUUCUGUCUCUGCCAUGUGAAACUUCCUGGAAAGUUCUUGUACAGGAUAUCCCGAGCCCACACGUGCUGCUGAUUAGCGAGGAAAUACUCUGUCAGCAUUGACUUAGAUGUAGUAUCACGGGCGACGACAUCGGUCAGGUCCUCUCCUGCUUUGAACGUGACACUAUUCAUAUUAGGGAGAUGAAGCGGCAACUGUAGGACCGACGGGAAACUCUCAGAAAGGUUGAAGCCGAAUAUCCUCCACAUCGCCUCCGGUGGAGUAACCCAUCUCGCAUCAACGUACCUUUUAAUCUUGUCUACAACCCCGUUGCUGUCAGGCUGGUCAAUACUGAAUGAAGCUCGAUCGUGACCCUUGUAUACAUAUUUGUAAAGGUACUUGACGGCCUUGAUGCUGGAGCACACCUCGACAUUUAUGUGGCAGUUGAACAUCCGCAACAGAUAAGGGUUGUAAGGCACGACCCAUCUGUUAUCCAGCAUUUGACGACGGUCCUUAGCCUGACGACCAUCGUCUCGCCGUUGAUAAACCGGGUAUGAAUCCUUCCCCUGUAAGGUGUUCUGGUCGAACGGUCGUGGGUACUUGCUCUUGCACUUCAAGUCUUGCAUGCACACAUUUUUGGGAUUAAGAUUGCCACAUGGGCCGUGCAUCAUAUGCUUCACGACCAUGGCAUAGAGCUCUGGAUACUUAUGCCUGUCCGGGAGCUCUGCAGAUAUGACGCGGUCAUACUGCUUUGGCACCACGAGUUUAUAACUUGAAUUCAUGAUCAGCAGGAAGUGUGCAUGGGGGAGGCCCCUCUUCUGGAACUCGACGACAUACACAUGCGCUACCACAACACCAAGGAUGUGCUUUUUGAAAAUCUCUUUCAUGGUCUCCAGCUUGGCCCUGAACACGCGUGCGACAAGAUCUGGUCGGUCCUGGGAUGUUUGGCCAGGAAGCAGCUCAUUCAGUAUCUCCUCCCAGCUAGGAUUGUAUGUCAUAGUCAAAAAGAUGUCAGGCUUCCCAUAUGUCUGCACCAGUGCCAUGGCGUCCAUUUACCUCCGCUUCAUGUCUCGGUUGCUUCCUUGAUGCGUCCCUGGCAGCACGAUCCUCUUCCCAACAGCGCUCGCUCGCAUCUCCCCAACCGCGAUGCUAUCCACAAGGCCUUGGUAUAGAUCGGCACGUAUCUCUCAUUGGUGGUCCCUGAUCCACUUCAGCCUACAUCCCUCAAUCUUGAUGAACAUGUCGACACCCCACUGCUGAAACAGGCGUGCUUCGUGUAGUAUGGGGUUGAAUAUCGCAGGGCGCGUCUGUAGCCGGUAACAGUAGUAGUCCCUGACAGAGACACAUAACCGGCUGUUCCCCUCUGUGGAAAGACAUGAAACAAGAAGGUUAGGUACCAUAUGGAAGGAUAGAGAACUUUUUCUGGCAUAUAAGCAUACCAACCAGGCGCACCUGAAUCGUUAUCACGGUUUCCUCUUGGUUGUUGUGCAACCUCCCAAGGGACAUUGUGCUUAGGGAUAUUUGGAUGCCAACCAAGCUCCCCCCUUGGAAAAAAGAGGGGAUACGAGAGCGGGUCAUAACAGCCAUCUGUGGCAUGUAUACUAUACUUCUCGUUGUUGUCCCCAUAGAGUGUAAUGCUGCGGUUGAACCUAUUUGCUAGAUUGCUUCCCUCGACCCAAAUCGCAGCCACCUCGAAUGACACGGGUCUAUUAUAUCUUCGUUGGUCUAGCUUCUGGUCAAUGUUGAGGUCUAUUCGGUACUCCUCGAGGUUUUCCUUGUGGGCACCCAAACUCCUAAACUGUUGGGAGUAGGGGUUUUCCCUCAGGACGUCCACUAACUUGCUGACAACGUGCUGGCCCAAUUGCUUGGUGGCCUCCUUGCGAUGGCUUAAGCUGGGACCGUCAUCGUAGAAGUACAACUGCAGAUGUUCAGGGCGAGAUCUUGGACCGAACGAGUGCGCCUUGUGGUACAUAGUGCCAUGUGCCCGAAACGUGUACACCCCGGACUUCAUGUUUGUGUAGUUGUUGUCUAGGCUGACGCCAAGGGUAGUGAAGGCAAAGUGCCCGUUGAAGAACCGAAUGCUCUCUCGGAAUGCCGAGAGUCUGCAUCCGCGCUUGACCAUAACCUCAUGAGCUCUGGGAUAGGCUCGGGUUCAGCUAGCUCAAUCUCCCCGUUCCGACAGCAGAAGCCGUUAGUCUCGUACUGGAACUUCUUGGCCUUGCAAUGCUCGCAGUUUGCCGCGUGCUUCAGGAUGUACGUGUUGUCUGGGUUGUUCGAGUAGACAUAGUCGAAAGGAUCUAGGUCGAUAGAUCUCGUGUUGGAGGAUUCUACGGGCUCAUCGAGGUCCGUGCUAUCAGUGUCGGAUGCUGCAAGCAUUGUGGAGAUAUAACAAGUCACAAUUGGAUGCACAUCAUAAACCAAUAAUAUAGAGGGAUGAGCAGCGAUGCGGAGUACCUUCACCGGCAAAUAGGUAGUACUCAUCAUCCAUGAGGUCACCGGAGAGUGCAUUCUCGUCCAUGAUGCCGCUAAGGAAGGCCUCCAUGUCAGCUGUAACAUUGUUGAGCCGGUAAGUAAUGGUUUUUAUUGUGAGUGCACACCAGGAGGGGAGUAAACAUGAGAGGGUUACCAUUGGUUCCGAUGGUGUAUGAUGGCAUGCUUGAUGAAGGGGAGGAAGCUGGUGAAGCAACUCCUGUGGGUAGUGCUUCUGAGCUUGUUGCUGCUCUGUUCACAUCUAAGGUACUUGCAUCUGGGCCUGGAAGCCUCCGUUUUUUUUUGAACCGCUGACUUAUCACCUUCUGGUAUGCUUUUCCCGCGCGCUCUUCGUUUUAAGGCACUCCCUUGAAUGUUCUUUGCUCUAAUACUUUGUUUGUGAGUUCGCUCCCGAGCCCUACGCUGUGCUCUGCUCUCCUGCCUCUGCUCACAGGCUUGAUUCUGCUGGUCGUCUAUUUGGUGAUCAUUGGUUUGCUGCGAUGGAUUUAUGAGUUCGCUGGGGGCAUCAUUAUCAUCCAGGGUACGACUAAGGUACUCGCCUGCACCGUUGUGGAGCCGUUAAAUACUGGUUCAAUGCACAUGGACACAAUAAGUAGAGUAAAGAUGGAAGGAUUACCAUCUGAUUCGAAGUUGCUCCCAGCCUUACUCGCAAAACGGGGGGCAGGGGCAGGAGCUGAAGCUUCGGAUUCUCUGAAUGCCAACACACGAGUGCUCGACAUCAGGUUGGGUGUAGCUAAGGUAUCUGCAUCAGGGCGCGGCAUUGCGAUGGAUUCAGCGCAAGGGGUGUUGCUCCUAGCCGCGAGUCUCUUCUUGCGUUGAGCUAGCAUGUUCUGCUUCUCCUUAGGUGAUAUGUUUUGCAGACGUGUUCUUUGGCGGGCGUUUGUCUCUUGCUUGUCAUGGACUGACAUAUUUUGGUAGGCCGCCCUUCUAAGGGUGUUACUCUGUUGCUUCUCCUCUAGUGUCAUUCGUUGCUUGGCUUUUCUUUGACGGGCAGUCCUCUCCUCCUCUGUUUUCUUUUUCCUAGCUUCUCUGCGACGUGCAUUGAUUUCCUCCCUCUGUUCAGGUGUUAAUCUAUUUCGCCGUGCUAUAUAUUGGUCUCGCCUUUUCUGUUUUCUAUCUGAUUUAAUGAUAUCAUUUGAAGCAAUGUGCUCGGGGACAUUGUCUCCAGUGUCGAGUCCAAGUGCUAUGCCUGAACCAAUAUUAUGGUCAAUGCUUCUCUCUGUUCCUCGAAAUGAUGCAUGGUGAUCAUAGUAAGUGCCCUCACGAGAAUGAUUUCCUGAAGAACCAUUUUUUUUAACAAAUGUAUAAAUGCAAAAUGAAAAAAAGUCGUGUGUAAGGGCGAUACCGAUUGAUGUUUCCACAUGCGGGACUGGCUGAAAGGCCUUGAGAUUGCCGGCUAUAGGAAUCAUCAUAGGCAGUUGCGUGGGCACAUUGUCAUCAUCAUCGAAAGACGGAACACUGUAGUUAGUAGUGCCUAUUUGUUCGCGUAUGAAAAAACCAGAUGGUGGUCGGUGUGUAUUGGUGAGUUGUGAUCUGGGUGUCCUCUCAUAUUCGACAACUGAUAAGAUUAAUGUAAGUUAAGGUGUGAAGCUUAUUGAAUACCUUAUGUGCAGACAUGUGAUUGGCAUAAACAUACCUUUUUUCCCUUUAUCAUAGAGAUGCUGUCUGUCCUGUGACAUCUUUCUGUCCUAUAGAAGCUUAAAUAAACCUGCAGUCUUUUUGCAUUAAAAAAUGAUAUGAAUUGAAUUACAAAAAUGAUAUGACCUCUGGUGACUCAUUUAACAGGCUUUUAGGACUCACUUGUUCAUUUUCAUAGACAUGUUCUUUGCAUAUGGUUUUCUUCCAAAGUAAAAUGAUUGUGCUAUUAUAUGUUGACGGCUGAAGUUUGUAUAUUUCAGUUUAUAAAGUGCAAGAUUUUGUAGAAGUUCAAUUUUUGAAAAAGAGGGCUCAGACAUGGCGACAAGAAUGAAGGUGGAGGGGAAGGAGUGGAGAGAAAGAUGUCUGUCUCCACGUGGUUCAUGUGCCUAUCACCCAUUAACAAUAUCUCAGUUAUCUGCAUGGUUCUCUAAUUAGUAUGUUUUCCCGGACGAAGAGAAGACUGAUCCUUCCAAAAAAAAUUCUGGGCAUGAAAAAUUCUGGACGAUGAUAUCAGCGGCGUUUCUGUUUUGGCGGCGUUAAAACAAUCUGGAAUAUAAAGGAUUCUGGAGAAGUCUGGAUUGCAAACCUAGGGAGUUCGGGCACCCCGUUGGAGAGGAAGAAGACGGUAGGCGGGCUCAGGAGAUGUCGCAGCAACAGCCGUCGAGCGUUUGGACGCUCUGGUUGUGGUUCGGCAUGCGAGGCGAUCAGCAGAGGCUGCAACUCCCACAGCUCGCGUGCGGACGAUGUGGCCGGACGAACUGGCAUCUGUUUUGGCGGCGUUUGUUCGCAUGUGGAUGGAGCUCGUACGCCAGGAAGAACUGGCGUCUUGAUGGAGCUUGUACGCCAGGAAGAACUGGCGUCUUGAUGGAGCUUGUACGUCAGGAAGAAUUGGCGUCUUGAUGGAGCUCGUACGCCAGGAAGAACUGGCGUUCGUUGGCGGGUCGAAGAAGUUUGAUUUUUGGUCGAUGGACCUCGUCCUCGUUCGUGGCGAUCGUGGGGUUCCAUGGACUUCUUGUUCGUGUGUUCUCGUUCGUGUGUUGAACUGUGGAUCUGGAUCUCGUACGUGGGCUGAGUUGGUGGGCGCUGAGUUUGUGUGUUGGACUGUGGAUCUCGAUCUCGUACGUGGGCUGAGUUGGUGGGGGCUGAGUUGGUGAUUUUGCGUACGUGGGCUGAGUUGGUGGGCUGCUGCGUGCGUGUGCGAGAUCGAAGGGAGGGGGGGAUCGAAGGAGGUCGAACCAUCACGACGUUCGAUCCCCCUUUAAUAGUAGAGAUAUAUGACAUUGCUACUAGAUUGCCUAGUGCCCCUGUUCAUGGUGGGCUAAACUUGUAUUUGCUCCUGCUGUUGCGUUUUGAUGAUCAUGAGUGUGAUGCAUUUUGAUGAUCUCCUUGUACCAGAUGAGUCCGUCGAUGAAGCGGCAGCGUCUCCUCUAGAGGGUGACGGUGGUGGCGGCGCCUGUGUGCGGCUUCGACUACAACCUCCUCUCCGGAGCUCCAGGCCUAAGAAAGUUGGAAGUGCGAAGACGUGAAGAAAAGCGUGAAGCCGUGAAGUGCUACUUAGCAAAGAGUUGUCUGUUCUAUUUGACUGUAAUAUUGUAAUAGCUGGUAUACCUAGGUUGUAAUAGUCUACAGAAAUUGUAGUACACUAAUCUAGUGUCAUUUGACGAGUUUCACAUGUUCUCUUGUUUGGAAUAUUUGAUUAUGAAUGUGAUUUGAUUGUGUGUGAGA